CAACACAGACGCUUUAAUUAAGCUAAGGCCUUUCUAGACAAGCAGGCCUCGAUCCUACAAACUCUUAGUUAACAGCUAAGCGCUCAAACCAGCGAGCAUUCGUCUAGCCUUUCCCCCGCCUUUUCGAGCUAAGAAGGCGGGGGAAAGCCCCGGUCGGGAAUUAACCGACUUCUUUGGAUUUGCAAUCCAAUAUGAGAACCACCUCGGAGCUUGGUAAGAAGAGGACUCAAACCUCUGUAUAUGGGGCUACAAUCCACCGCUUAAAACUCAGCCAUCCUACCUGUGGCAACCACCCGUUGACUCUUUUCAACCAAUCAUAAAGACAUUGGCACCCUUUACCUUAUUUUCGGUGCUUGGGCCGGGAUAGUGGGCACAGCCCUAAGCCUGCUUAUUCGGGCAGAACUAAGCCAACCCGGGGCCCUUCUUGGAGACGACCAAAUUUACAAUGUAAUCGUCACAGCACAUGCGUUUGUAAUAAUUUUCUUUAUAGUAAUGCCAAUUAUAAUUGGCGGAUUUGGAAACUGACUUAUUCCCCUGAUGAUCGGGGCCCCAGACAUGGCGUUCCCUCGAAUAAACAACAUGAGCUUCUGACUUCUGCCCCCCUCCUUUUUACUUCUCCUAGCAUCGUCUGGGGUAGAAGCUGGGGCCGGGACAGGUUGAACCGUCUACCCCCCACUAGCUGGAAACCUUGCGCAUGCGGGUGCAUCCGUUGAUCUAACAAUUUUCUCCCUGCAUCUUGCAGGGAUUUCUUCAAUCCUAGGGGCAAUUAAUUUUAUUACAACAAUUAUUAACAUAAAACCCCCUGCUAUUUCUCAGUACCAAACCCCUUUAUUUGUCUGAGCCGUCCUUAUUACAGCCGUCCUACUUCUUCUUUCCCUACCCGUUCUUGCCGCCGGUAUCACAAUGCUCCUUACAGACCGAAACCUGAACACAACCUUCUUUGAUCCUGCCGGGGGAGGUGACCCAAUUCUUUACCAACAUUUAUUUUGAUUUUUCGGACAUCCCGAAGUUUAUAUUCUAAUUCUCCCAGGCUUUGGAAUAAUUUCACACAUCGUAGCAUACUACGCAGGUAAAAAAGAACCGUUCGGCUAUAUGGGCAUGGUAUGAGCAAUGAUGGCAAUUGGCCUUCUUGGCUUUAUUGUUUGAGCCCACCACAUGUUUACUGUUGGCAUAGACGUAGACACUCGAGCGUAUUUUACCUCUGCCACAAUAAUUAUUGCCAUUCCAACCGGGGUAAAAGUGUUUAGCUGACUCGCCACCCUCCACGGGGGCUCUAUUAAAUGAGAAACCCCACUCCUUUGAGCCCUCGGGUUCAUCUUCCUAUUUACAGUCGGAGGGCUGACCGGGAUCGUACUGGCUAACUCCUCACUGGACAUUGUUCUCCAUGACACUUAUUACGUAGUAGCCCACUUCCACUAUGUGCUGUCUAUGGGGGCUGUAUUUGCCAUCGUUGCCGCCUUCGUUCACUGAUUCCCACUCUUUACGGGCUACACCCUGCACUCGACCUGAACCAAAGUUCAUUUUGUAGUUAUGUUUAUUGGGGUGAACUUAACCUUCUUCCCCCAACACUUCCUUGGUCUGGCCGGCAUGCCCCGACGCUACUCAGACUACCCCGACGCCUAUACGCUGUGAAACACUGUCUCCUCUUUCGGGUCCAUCAUUUCCUUAGUGGCCGUAAUUAUGUUCCUAUUCAUUCUAUGAGAAGCAUUUGCCUCAAAACGUGAAGUAGUAUCAGUUGAACUGACUAUCACCAACGUCGAGUGGCUACACGGCUGCCCUCCUCCCUACCACACAUUUGAAGAACCAGCUUUUGUCCAAGUACGGACUAACUAACGAGAAAGGGAGGAAUUGAACCCCCAUGAUCUGGUUUCAAGCCAACCACAUAACCAUUCUGUCACUUUCUUAAUAA